rnacentral:misc_RNA from 1 species
UUAAGUUCAGCGGGUAUCCCUACCUGAUCCGAGGUCAAACCAUAGAAAAAUUGGGGGUUGUCUGGCGAGCAGAGCCCAUAACUCCGAAGCGGGUAGAAUUGACUACGCUGGGAGAUGGACACCACCGCCUACGAGUUUCAGGCGCGUCCUGAGCGGACGGAGCCCAAUACCAAGCAGAAGCUUGAGGUUUGAAAUGACGC